GCGGUGCAGUAAAAACUUCCAACAGACAAACGCAAAAGUACAUCUACGCGUUUCAGACCAGUUCUAAUACAGCCGUGUCCAGGCUGUAAUCUGAGCUCACAACAGGUGGAACAGGAUGCCGAAGCAAAGGAAUCUCGAGUAGAUAAAAGAGGUCAAGGAAUAAAGAAAGCUCAACAGGUCAGAUUCGUUCAAGGACACCCACUUUCUAUUAAGCCUGCUGUAUCAGCACAGCUAUCUGACACAGCCCAGUAAGUCUGCCUGUCCUGGCCCAGCAGAAGGCAAUUUAUUAUACUGUCAGAACUCCGCCGAGCCUGUGUACACAGAUUGUGACAUAUCCUAGUCUUCAGAUGACAGGGGAAGAUGCUUUUUGUUGUUCAUACUCAAUGUGAGAAACAUUCCAUUAUUGUAUACAAAUUAACCAAUUCAACAAAGAUCAAGCAGGAAACAGGGUAAGCUCCAGGAUCAGAACUCCUAUCAUGUCAUGUAGGGUAUAGAACUGUACAGAAUAGGAACUUUCAGAACUGACCUCAUCAGCUUCACCACGAAUAAAUGACAAUUCAUUAACUUGAGUAACAUAGAUUAUAUUGAAAGGGAUGUUUAAUACUCUACUAGACAAGAAGUUAAAUGGCAAGAGUCAACAUCAAGAGUAAAUUAUACUUGUUAUGCUAUGAAAGGGACACACAUGCACCAGAUGCAAAUGCAGUGCUGAGAAUGCUUGAAUAGGUUUAUUUUCAAUGCCGCUAUAAAAGAAGAAGAAGAUUUUGUGUACCAUAGACCAGGGAUGCAACCAUCACAUGAUAUCAUUGUACAUAUCUGCUUCAUUGGUGAGAAGAUUAUUAUUAUUAUUUUUUUUGCUGCAACAUUUUUUCCAGGUCAUUAGUGAUGAACACUACAAUAGAAACAUUUACUUAAAGGGGUUGUCUCACUUCAGCAAAUAGCAUUUAUUAUGUAGAGAAAGUUACUACAAGGCACUUACUAAUGUAUUGUGAUUGUCCAUAUUGUCUCCUUUGCUGGCUGGAUUCAUUUUUCCAUCACAUUAUACACUGCUCACAACCAUCCUGUGGUCGUGCUUCUGGCAAAAAAGUCUUGUCAGAAAAGUGGAAGCUGUUUUACGGUACUUUCACACUUGCGUUAUUCUUUU